AGCACUUCCCUCCUGCACUGCCCCCAGAGCUCAUUUCCAUCCUCUCACUCAGUGGCGGGAGGCAGCUGGUGGUGCUUUUACAGCUUGCAGCCUCUGUUUUGGCAGCUGGGACCCUUCCCAGCAUGGGCAGGAUGGGCAGAGGAUGCUUCUGCUCCCUUCAACCUUUAGCUCUUAAAUCACAGCUGCAAAUAAGCUUACAGGUCCAAAGGGGGCUGUGCUGGAGGUGAGGGCACGUCUUCCAUGCCUUGUGCUGCCUCCUGUGCUCCUGCUGCAGGAGAUGAGACCUCAUGAGGGAGCUGACACAGCCACUGGGGACACCAUGGCCUUGGUGAGAUCCAGUCACAGUGGGAACUGGUGGGCACUGGAGCUUGGAGCAGUCCCCAGAGCAAGAAGAGACCCCAGCCUGAAGGCCCAGGGGGUAGCUCAGGCUGGACGGGCCCUCAGGCUCCAUCAUCCUGAAACCCCCCAAGGAUGGAGUCCACACUCACCAAGCAGUUUGAAGGUCCUCAGGGAGGGAGAACCUUCUCCUUUGCUCCAGCCUCAGCCUCUCAUCCCCAGCUCACACCUCCCCUCCACUUCUGGGUGCUCCUGAGGGCUCUUGCAAAUCUCCCUGGGCAGCCCCUAGCUCCCGUCCCUGCUGAAUUUCAUGGGGUGGCUACUGGCCAGAGCCCCAGACCUGCUGUGUCCCUCUGCAUGCUAUGGACAUGUUUUGAGGACCCACAAAAGGGUUUUGUCUGCCAGCUGGUCCUGAUGCAGACUGCGACACAAGUUUUUUCUGCAUUAAACAGCUGGUGGCAGAGCCUGGCAGUAGCAAGUGGCUGAUGAGCUGACACACAUUGUCCUUGCUGCUGGGCUAAAUAACCAGAGGCUUUUUCCCCUCCAGUCUCUUCCUCCUGGAGGAGGCAAGAAUAGCCCCAGGCUGGUGCAGGCACACAGCACAGCGGCUCUGGAUGCUGAUGAUGCCUAAAAGUGUGCUCCCAGGGCAGGAGAAAGGAGCCUCCUGGUCCUGGGAACACCCUGACUCCACGUGUACCAGCUUGGCCCAACAGCUCUUUGCAAGCACUGCAGCUGAAGGAAGGUUCGUCGGGGUGAGAACAGGUUAUGGACUCCUCGUGGUGGAGGGCAAUGCCCACAUUGGGUGGGAUGGGGCUGGUGCAUCUGCACUGCCCUGCCCUGGUGUGGCUGUACCGCCAGGACCCCAGCAGUGCUCCUGUGCUGUGCUGAGCAGCUCCCAAAAGCCAUGCUCAGUGGGGCGAGGAGGGGGUUCCUGGCACUCCAGGUGCUGAUGGAGCACAGGGAGCCUGGCAAAGCUGCCCUGUGCCACUGCCCAUUCACCAGCUUCCCUUCCAGACCGAUCUGGGAAGCCAAGCAGAUGUUUGUAUGGAUGCAGUGGUAGGAUGUGAGUGAUCCUCGCGUUUGUGUUUAUGGCUGUUUAAUGAGCUAUUUUUCCUUCACACCAUUGAUUUCCCUGGGUUCUGCUGAGAUCGCUUGCCUCUGGGCAAUGAGAAGUAACUCAGCUGCUCCAGAGGAGCCAUGCGUCAGCCCCACAGGAUGGGAUAAGGCAGAGCAAGGAGCUGCUUCAGGAAGGGGCUGGUGCCGCUGCACAGCUCAGUGGUGUCUGGGGCCUCAGCUGCACUGGGAGAGGACUCGAACCCAGGGGAGACGUGUCCAGAACUUGGAUGUGCAUCAGGCCCUUCACAUGCUGAAGUGUUGCCUUGUGUCUGGAAGAACCCAAACCUGUCUUUCUCUGUGCUGGGAACUGGCUGUGCACAGUGGGUUUGGCUCUCAUCAUUGUUUCACGCGCACACUCACAGGGACACCUUACCUCACACCACGGUGCUCUGCAGUCAGCACAAAGGGGCCCUGAGAGAGGCCUCGUCCCCCUGGCUACCCAAAACAUCCCCACCUCCCUGUGUCCCCAUGCAGGUCUAAGGCCAAAGGACAGACUGGUAUCACCUCUGCCCCCAGUCAACUCUGGCUCUUCAGCACCCCUGAGACCACUUCAAGGAGCAAGAUGUUGUCCAGGCGCUGGUGCUUGCUGCUCACCUUCAUUCUGCCACCCCAGCAUUCAGGGCAGCCUUGCUCCAUCUCCUGUUUGGCACUGAUAGUGUGAGGAAAAAAUGGGUGCAGCGCUCAUGCCACUUUCUUCCUGCAGCACCUGCAGCACCCGGGAAGCCUCGGUGCUGCAGGAGGCUGCGACCUACCCCGGACACAGUCCUGCUGUAGGUGGCCCUUUUGGGGCAGGGGAGCUGGACCAGGUGCCCCCGACCUCAGCCAUCCGGUGAUCCCGUGGCUCUGGGACACAGCUUGGGGGGGACAGCAGCUGGGCCCCUAUGCCAGGCUCCUAGCGCAUGGGCAUGGCAUGAGGAAGCAGACAAAGAGUGGUGCCACUGAGGCACAGCCACCCACGUCCCCGUGGGGCCACGGUGAGGUCCUGGCCAGUGCCGGUGGCCGGGAGGAGCUGUCUGUGCUACGGGAGGUGGCAUUUCACAUGCAGCCCCUGGGGACAUGAGAGGAUGGGGGGGGGUCAGGCUGCCAAACGGCUUCUGUGUCGGUGUGCUGGCGAGGGAUAAACAAAAGGAGCUGGAAGUCUUAAUGCAUGAUCAAGAUUAUGAUUUAAUUGGCAUAACAAAGGCUUGGUGGGCUAAGCCACAUGACUGGAAUAUUAAUACCAGAGGAUGCCGCUUGUUCUGGAAAGACGGGCAGGGGAUUAGGGAGGAAUGUGUUGCUUUGUAUAUUAAGGAUGAAGACGUUCUGCACUCCCUCUCUCUGCGCUCCAGGGAGAACCUGGAUGCCAUGCUGCCAGUGGCUCUGGGGCGUGUGGAGGGGGCUUCAAGUGA